UGCACAAUGACUCUCGGCAACGGAUAUCUCGGCUCUUGCAUCGAUGAAGAACGUAGCGAAAUGCGAUACUUGGUGUGAAUUGCAGAAUCCCGUGAACCAUCGAGUCUUUGAACGCAAGUUGCGCCCGAAGCCAUUAGGUCGAGGGCACGUCUGCCUGGGCGUCACA
rnacentral:rRNA from 1 species